GAGCAAGGGGGAGAGCAGCAGAAGGAGAGUUCAGAGAGGUUGCCGGGAGCUAUAUCAUGUCGGGCCAGGCAGGCCAGAAGAGAAAACGAAAGCCCAGAGACCGGCUGAAGGUCACGCAGCUCGUUAGUAAUCCAGUCAGGAUGAGAACUCCGAAACCACGCCAGAAUGUUGUAUGAACUACCUUUUCCCGGCUGUCAUCUUUAUUCAUCCUUCCUCCUCCUCCCCCCACACUCUGACAGAAUUCUGCUCCUCUAUUAUUAUUCUUGUUACACUCGGCUUGGUGUUAUUUACGUA